UACGUAGGGUGCGAGCGUUGUCCGGAAUUAUUGGGCGUAAAGGGCGCGUAGGCGGCCAGCACAAGUCAGUUGUGAAAUCUCCGAGCUUAACUCGGAAAGGUCAACUGAUACUGUGCGGCUAGAGUGCAGAAGGGGCAACUGGAAUUCUCGGUGUAGCGGUGAAAUGCGCAGAUAUCAGGAGGAACACCGGUGGCGAAGGCGGAUCUCUGGGCCGAUACUGACGCUGAGGAGCGAAAGCGUGGGGAGCGAACAGG
rnacentral:rRNA from 1 species